rnacentral:lncRNA from 1 species
CACCUUUUGAAGAUGGUACUUUUAAACUAGUAAUAGAAUUUUCUGAAGAAUAUCCAAAUAAACCACCAACUGUUAGGUUUUUAUCCAAAAUGUUUCAUCCAAAUGUGUAUGCUGAUGGUAGCAUAUGUUUAGAUAUCCUUCAGAAUCGAUGGAGUCCAACAUAUGAUGUAUCUUCUAUCUUAACAUCAAUUCAGUGUCUUGCUCUGUUGCCCAGACUGGAGUGCAAUGGCACAAUCUUGGCUCACCGCAACCUCUGCCUCCCGGGUUCAAGUGAUUAUCCUGCCUCAGCCUCCUGAGUAGCUAGGACUAUAGGCACAUGCUACCACGCCUGGCUAAGUUUUUGUAUUUUUAGUAGAGAUGGGGUUUCACAGUGUUAGCCAGGAUGGUCUCCAUCUGACCUCAUGAUCCGCCCGUCUGAGCCUCCGAAAGUGUUGGGAUUACAGGCGUGAGCUACUGCACCAGGCCAGUUCUGGUCAUCUUACAAGCGUUGUUUUUCAACCUUCCUAUCUCAUUCUCUUCCUGCUAAAUGUAUAUGUUUUGUUGAUUAAAGGAAAUAAGACUUAUCUCCCAAAUUUACUGUCAAGACAUUUGCAAAGUAACUGCAGUAAUAGAGUUUAACCUUGGAAAAUGUUGGUUACUGAGAAUUAUUGAUAUCUUAACCAAAUUAAGCUGUUUAUUUCCUUGGUUUAAUGAGAACGUCUCAAUAUGCUUAAGAAUAUUCUUUUCUGAUUUCUUUCAAAUUAUAGGUAUUUUUUUCUUUUCUUUUUUCUUUUUUUUUUUUUUGAGACGGAAUUUCACCCUUGUUGCCCAGGCUGGAGUACAGUGGCGCGAUCUCAGCUCACUGCAACCUCUGCCUCCCGGGUUCAAGCAAUUCUCCUGCCUCAGCCUUCCGAGUAGCGGAUUACGGGCAUGCGCCACCACACCCGGCUAAUUUUGUAUUUUUAGAAAUUACGGGGUUUUCUCCAUGUUGGUCAGGCUGGUCUCGAACUCCCUACCUCAGGUGAUCUGCCCGCCUCGGCCUCCCACAGUGCUGGGAUUACAGGCGUGAGCCACCACACCCGACCUCUUUUUCUUUUUUAAUAGAAACAGGGUCUCCCUAUGUUGCCCAGGCUGGGCUUGAACUGCUGGGCUCAAGGGAUCCUCCUGCCUUGGCCUCCCAAAGUGUUAGGAUUACAGGCACAAGCCACUGUACCCAGCUGAAAUUAUAGGUCUUAAGGCAAUUGAGAACUUUAUUUCAGAAGCUUAAGUUCCUUAGCAGCAGGAAACCCCAUAGUAUUUAUCAAAUCAUUUCUAAAAGUAUUUAGACCCAAAAUUAUAUGACAUGUUAAUCUCUGAAGUAAUUUGUUGUUUUGUAUAACUUUUCUGUAAUAUAUUCCAUAUCUGACCCCUGUUGGUAUAAAGAACAACUAUGCAAAUCUGUUUUUUCUUUUCUUUCCUCCUAGUCUCUGCUGGAUGAACCGAAUCCUAACAGUCCAGCCAAUAGCCAGGCAGCACAGCUUUAUCAGGAAAACAAACGAGAAUAUGAGAAAAGAGUUUCGGCCAUUGUUGAACAAAGCUGGAAUGAUUCAUAAUAGACAACUGGUCUGUUAAUCUUUUUCAUCAUUGUUGUGUAUAAUUUACCUCUCAUUAGAAAGGCUAACAAAUUUUAAGUGCCACAGGUUUUAAGGAUUCUGCAG